UCGAACUUUACAUCGGAAACCAGGGAUGUACUGUAUGGUGACUAACAUAAUAUAAUAAAAAAACAUUAAAAUAAAAAAGAAAAAAAAAGAAAUGAAAGUAUCUGACCAAUCCAUGUGUAACAAAUGACAAGAGCUAUAAGGUAGAGGGAGGCACUGUUUCGGGAGUGGAGACAGUUAGGACUCUACUUUCAGUCAUGGAGCCAUGGAUCAGCCACAGUAUAACUGUGAUGUUGGUCAGGUUACCUCUCUGGGUUUGAAUCCCUCAUUUGAAAAGCAAACGGGUUUAAAGAUUAGCAACUCAAAUGUUAUGACUGGUACUUGCACAUGGGGGUUUAUUGUACUUGUUUUCCUACCUUUAAGUAAGUAUGUUUUAAAAUAUUCAUAAUAAAAAGUAAAAAAAAAAACACAUUGGAAUAUACAUAAAAAGCAAAAAUAUCAUCCCAACUCCUUCCUGUAGUUCUAUAAGAUGGAGCCAAGCUUGUUUCAAGCUGUUUUGCGUAGGAGUCUUAUGCAAUCAGUUUCUUCCCCUGGAAUGAUUUUUCCAAAUCAAUAUUGCAUUUUUGAUCAUAUUUCCUUGCUCAAUUUACAUGGAAAUGUAUGUGUAUUUCAUGGGCUAAACUGAGUGGCCUGGCAUGUUUUACAGUGAUUUAUAGUCUUUUCAUAUAAAAAUAAAUGUCAGGUCUCCAAAUAUAUUUUGAAGGUAAUACAUUCAUGUAAAUACUUUCAGAAUGGGCUGGAAACAACGGCUCUUUGGAUAACCAUGUGAUUUCCAAUAAAGGACACCCUUUAUGGAUAGGUGAUUCAUGCUCAGUCUCUGUGAAAAUUUAAAUUUCUACAUCAGUUUUUCUUCAGGAUUCCUCUAUCCACACCCAGCUUUGGAUAUGAGACAAUCAACCAAUGAUUUGAUCAGCUUGCAAAGGAAAUUAAACUAGGUUACUCCUUGAAUGGCUGCAUGAAAUAGUGACCUCAAUCUGUGUAGCUGGAAGGAGCUUAGAGAACUUAUUUCACUGUGUUUAAAAGGAAUAUUCUUCUCAAAUAGGUUUUCCUUGCCUAUAGCUUCUUACUUCUGAACUUGCUGAGCUAUAUGAGGACUUGGAGACCCAUGGGAAGGGAGUGGUCUUUUCUGCCUCACCAUCACCAGAUUUAAAGGCUUUCCACAGUGCUUCAGGAGGAAGCAGGAAACCAUUCUGAACCCACAUGUUCCCAGCACCGUCUGAAUCAUCUCUAAAUGUCCUAACCUUUACAAUAACCUUUCUGACAGAGCAAGUCAAAGUCAGGAAACAGAGAUAGAGACAGCCAGCGAGAGAGGGAACACAAGCAGGGGGAG